UACAGAGGUCCCAAGCGUUGUUCGGAUUCACUGGGCGUAAAGGGUGCGUAGGUGGUGAGGUAAGUCGGAUGUGAAAUCUCCGAGCUCAACUCGGAAAUGGCAUUGGAAACUACCUUGCUCGAGGGUUGGAGGGGGGACUGGAAUGCUUGGUGUAGCAGUGAAAUGCGUAGAUAUCAAGAGGAACACCAGUGGCGAAGGCGAGUCCCUGGACAACUCCUGACACUGAGGCACGAAAGCUAGGGGAGCAAACAGG
rnacentral:rRNA from 1 species